rnacentral:tRNA from 1 species
GGUUAGCUCAGUUGGUAGAGAGCUCCACUGGAAAUGGAGAGGUCCCGGGUUCGAUGCCCGGACGGACCA